CUUUUGACUAAAUUUAUCAUUGUCUUUCUUUGAUUUGUCACCCUUUUUGCCAUCUCUAGGCCAAUUAUUUUCCUUGAUCCCCGUGGCUGAAUUCUUUAACUUUGAAGAGCUUCAGCUCUUUUUAGAUGCUCUCAUGGAGACCUCUAACAUACUUCAUGAAAACUGCAAGAUCAUCGAUGGAGAUCCUAAAGGAGAUUACUUGCUUGUAGAACUUGAUGGUGUAGUAC
rnacentral:lncRNA from 1 species